CGAUUUCGGUUCGCUUGAGGUGCUCCGGCAGGUGUCCGCCCGCCGGAGGAAAAGGGAACACGGAACGGUCAUUCUUCAUGUGACCGCAGCCGUGGCUGCUCCCGCAACUGUGAGCGCUGAGGCUCCUCCAAUGCCACUGGGUGCAACGCCCGGGAAGGCGAGGCAGCCGACGAAGCGCGAGCCAGGAAACCUGCCUCAGGCCGUCACCGACC
rnacentral:ncRNA from 2 species